rnacentral:rRNA from 1 species
UGAGUAACAUCAACUGGAGGACCGAACCGACUAAUGUUGAAAAAUUAGCGGAUGACUUGUGGCUAGGGGUGAAAGGCCAAUCAAACCUGGAGAUAGCUGGUUCUCCCCGAAAGCUAUUUAGGUAGCGCCUCGGACGAAUACUACUGGGGGUAGAGCACUGUUAAGGCUAGGGGGUCAUCCCGACUUACCAACCCUUUGCAAACUCCGAAUACCAGUAAGUACUAUCCGGGAGACACACGGCGGGUGCUAACGUCCGUCGUGGAGAGGGAAACAACCCAGACCGCCAGCUAAGGUCCCAAAUUACUACUAAGUGGGAAACGAUGUGGGAAGGCUCAGACAGCCAGGAUGUUGGCUUAGAAGCAGCCAUCAUUUAAAGAAAGCGUAAUAGCUCACUGGUCGAGUCGGCCUGCGCGGAAGAUGUAACGGGGCUAAGUAGUAAACCGAAGCUGCGGCAAUGUGCUUUUGCACAUUGGGUAGGGGAGCGUUCUGUAAGCGGUUGAAGGUGUGUGGUAACGCAUGCUGGACGUAUCAGAAGUGCGAAUGCUGACAUGAGUAACGAUAAAGGGGGUGAAAAACCUCCUCGCCGGAAGACCAAGGGUUCCUGUCCAACGUUAAUCGGGGCAGGGUAAGUCGACCCCUAAGGCGAGGCCGAAAGGCGUAGUCGAUGGGAAACGGGUUAAUAUUCCCGUACUUCUUACAAUUGCGAUGGGGGGACGGAGAAGGCUAGGUGGGCCUGGCGACGGUUGUCCAGGUUCAAGUGCGUAGGCUUAAGAGUUAGGUAAAUCCGGCUCUUUCUAAGGCUGAGACACGACGUCGAGCAUCUACGGA